AACACCUCGCCUCCGUCUGCGAACGUAGGCUCGGAGGUAAGUGUAUGAAUACACAUGAAAAUGAUGGGUCCAGGUGAUUCGCCGGACGAUGACCAAAUUACCGCGAACUAUAGCUGUCGAUAGGGUAAACAACAUGGCUGCACCCAGUCUAUUCCAUGCGGUUUUUAAGUAUUUCACUGUAUAUGUGAAGACUGUAGCAUGAAGCAACAAAAGUUGACUUGUCAAUGUUCCGGUUUUCAUAAAGGGCUAUUCCAAGCUUUCCUUCACCGGCCUAGGAGGCAAUUUUCCAUCACAUCAAUAUUUUUUC